AUGCUUUCAUAUCAGAGAACAGAUGAGGUGAAGCUGCUUAAAGACAGGGAGGGUGAGACAGGGAGAAGUAGCUCAGAGUUGCAGGUGAGACAGGGAACAGGCGCAAGCAAAGAAGUGCAGGUAGGCAGGCAGGAUGCUGAACCCAACCAUGCUAACCCGAAGCUCAUUGCAGUGCAGCAGCUCACCAACAAAACGCUAAGGUUCCAAGAAAAGUGGUACCGUGAAUUUCCUUGGCUUCACUACAGUUCAGGAGUCAAUGGAAUCCUAUGUUUUUUCUGUGCUCAAGCUUUUGGGCAUGAAAAAUCAAAUUUGGCCAAGAAUGCAGAUCCAACAUUUGUCAAAACUGGUUUCCGAAACUGGAAAAAGGCAACUCAAAAAUUUGCAGAACAUGUCCAAAGCAAUGCACACAAAGUUGCUGUCACUACCCACUGCCAAAAAACAAAACCAGUAGAUGUCCAGUUAUCUUCAGCCAAAGCUGCACAGCAACAGGAAUCAAGACGGUGUCUCCUGAAAAUUGCAGGCUCUGUACAGCUCUUGGCACGCCAGGG
rnacentral:lncRNA from 1 species